GACGAACGCUGGCGGCGUGCCUAAUACAUGCAAGUAGAACGCAGUUGCGAACGGGUGAGUAACGCGUAGGUAACUGCCUCAUAGCGGGGGAUAACUAUUGGAAACGAUAGCUAAUACCGCAUACUGUGAGAUGGACCUUCUUUGUAUUAGCUAGUUGGUGAGGUAAAGGCUCAACAAGGCGACGAUACAUAGCCGGCCUGAGAGGGUGGUAGGUCACAAUGGGACUGAGACAACGCCCAGACUCCGUAGGGGGGCAGCCGUAGGGAAUCUGCGGAAAUGGACGGAAGUCUGAACGAGGCACGGCGCGGGAGUGAAGAAGGGUUUCGGAGCGUAAAAGUCUGUUGUUAGAGAAGCGGUAACUGACCAGAAAGGGACGGCUAACUACGUGCCAGCAGCCGCGGUAAUAC
rnacentral:rRNA from 1 species